rnacentral:rRNA from 1 species
GUGGAGCAUGUGGUUUAAUUCGAAGCAACGCGAAGAACCUUACCAGGUCUUGACAUCCUCUGACAACCCUAGAGAUAGGGCUUUCCCUUCGGGGACAGAGUGACAGGUGGUGCAUGGUUGUCGUCAGCUCGUGUCGUGAGAUGUUGGGUUAAGUCCCGCAACGAGCGCAACCCUUGAUCUUAGUUGCCAGCAUUCAGUUGGGCACUCUAAGGUGACUGCCGGUGACAAACCGGAGGAAGGUGGGGAUGACGUCAAAUCAUCAUGCCCCUUAUGACCUGGGCUACACACGUGCUACAAUGGACAGAACAAAGGGCUGCGAGACCGCAAGGUUUAGCCAAUCCCACAAAUCUGUUCUCAGUUCGGAUCGCAGUCUGCAACUCGACUGCGUGAAGCUGGAAUCGCUAGUAAUCGCGGAUCAGCAUGCCGCGGUGAAUACGUUCCCGGGCCUUGUACACACCGCCCGUCACACCACGAGAGUUUGCAACACCCGAAGUCGGUGAGGUAACCUUUAUGGAGCCAGCCGCCGAAGGUGGGGCAGAUGAUUGGGGUG